rnacentral:rRNA from 1 species
ACUGACAGCCAUGGUUACCGCGGCUGCUGGCACGGAGUUAGCCGGUGCUUCUUCUGUGAGUGAUGUCCUUCCUGCCGGUUAUUGACCCGCAGGCCUUCUUCCUCACUGAAAGUGCUUUACAACCCGAAGGCCUUCUUCACACACGCGGCAUGGCUGGAUCAGGGUUGCCCCCAUUGUCCAAUAUUCCCCACUGCUGCCUCCCGUAGGAGUCUGGGCCGUGUCUCAGUCCCAGUGUGGCUGAUCAUCCUCUCAGACCAGCUACGGAUCGUCGCCUUGGUGAGCCGUUACCUCACCAACCAGCUAAUCCGACAUAGGCUCAUCCGAUAGCGCGAGGCCCGAAGGUCCCCCGCUUUCCCCCGUAGGGCGUAUGCGGUAUUAGCCUGGGUUUCCCCAGGUUAUCCCCCACUACCGGGCAGAUUCCUAUGCAUUACUCACCCGUCCGCCGCUCGCCACCAGGGAGCAAGCUCCCCGGUGCUGCCGCUCGACUUGCAUGUGUUAGGCCUGCCGCCAGCGUUCAAU